GUCAUGAUGGAACAGUAAGUUCCAGCAUAGAAAGGGUUAGGUUUUCCACUUUCUCCCAAUUCAAUGAGCCUUCUUCUAGAAUCCACAUUGUGAGGAAACCUCACAGUAGGGGGUAAUUCACAAAUACCCACUAAAUGUCAUAAGGACAGACUGUCUGGCUAGGGGACUGAUAACACAAUUAUCAUACCUGUGCUAUAGUGGAGUGGUCUUGUCUCAAAGCAGAUUUCAAGGUAAUAUUGUUUUAUGCUCAUAACUUAAAUACAAUCUAAUACAGAUAUAAAUCAUAGCACCCAUUACUUUCCUUAUAGCUAGGACUUCUUGAGGAGUCCAAACACGCCCACAUUAUUAUGAUCCCUCCCAGUGUUGCCCGAUAUUCUGAUAAUGCCAGAAUAAUGUGUGUUGGUCUUGGGGUGUUUGGUCUCUAUGAAAAGAGAAUUCAAUUUCCUACCUGGUACUCAUAUUUUCAUAAUUUUGCUAUACAACCACAAAUAGUUUAGGCUGGUUGAAAGAUCUAUGUAUCCAGAAUAGCCAGUUGUAAAUUGGUGACCCGCCCUCACCUCUCUCAUUGGAUGGGGGCGUGACCUUUCACUUCCCAACCUGGAUAUCAAGGGUCCAGACAACUGGGAAGAGGUAUGCCUUUGGGGACCAAGCUGCUUGGGAGGUAUAUGUCGUUAUUCUUCCGUUCCCCCGGAACAGGACUCAUAUAAUAUCCUUCUGUAGGUGAUAAAAAUCUGGUGGAGAAAAUGGAAGAGCUGCUAUUUCUGCUGUGCAUGUGCUCUGUCAUGAAUGGCAUCUGCUUAUUUAUGAGCAUAGGGGCCGAUUGCAUUCAGAAAAUGCUCAGGUACAGGUAUGGGAUCUAUUACCCAGAAUGCUUGGAAUCUGCGGUUUUCUGGAUAAGACCUUUUCCUGUAAUUUGGAUCUCCAUAUCUUGCUUAAAAUGGACUCUAUAGGAGCUGGUCCCUUCUGUAAUUCUGCAAAUGUAUAUUGAUCAGAAUUUAAUUUUAUAUGAAGAUGUAAUAUUUAUUGAAUAUAGCAUCAUUAUAUUAAUGUGUUUAACUAAUGAUGUUCUCUCAACUGGUCUUUGUUAAUGACCUUCCAACCUUUGUUAUCUAUGCACUAGAGUUGUUCAACCAAGGGCAAGCCCAGCAAAGCAUCAUUAUUUCUAUAUCAAGUGCUACUUUCUCCCUACUUGAACUCAACAAACCAAUCUAAUGGCAUGAAAGAAUUUAAUUUCAGAGUUGAAUGAUAAUUUGUCAGGCACUGUUAAUUCACAUAAUUAAAAGUUAAUUACCUUUGAGAUAUUAGGCUAUACUGUAGUUUGGUUUACUUCAUUUGCAGCAUCUAAACAAUUUGACCAAACAAUUUAACAUUUUUGAUCACGAUAACAGCACCAAUAUUUUUUUUUGUCUUGGAAUAUGUGUCCAAUAGGUGUUUCUGCGGCCUUUGUCCUCUUCUGCAUCUGGUUAAAUAUGGCAGUUAGAUUAUCUAACAGAAACAUAUAACUAUCUUACAGACAAAGCCUCUAAAUGCCUAAAGAAAAGGUUUAUUAUAAAGAUAUUUAGCACAAUAUAAUAUGUUUAGGUCUAUCCUGAUCAGUUUUGUCAAAUGCAGAUUUAAAAACAAAAUACAGAAAGAUUUGUAACUUUAAAGUAGAAGAUACAAUUUCAGUCAACAAGAACAAUUGUACUGAUAAUAUAAAUUAUAAUGUAGCCAGAUAAUUCAUCCUGCAGUAGAGUAUUGUAUGUUAGAGAAAAUGCAUAACACCAUCUCUGUUUUGUCUAUAUGUACAAAUGAUCUGUAAAUGUUACCACCUGUAUUGAAUCUGUAUUCUAACCUUUAAAAAUAUAUGACUUUAAUACUCUAGCCAAAUGACAGUGAUAUUUUUUGAUAACAGAUAUUGCAACUGUAAAAUGUUACAUUUGAAUACACAAAUUAGGGCUUGGAUAUGUUUCUGUAUUCAUCUAUAUUAUUUACUGAGAUUGAGAGCAUCCCUGAUUCAUUAUUUAUCUGUUAUUUUUAUAGUGCAACACAUUUCUGCAGCGCUUUACACAUGUGUUCAAUAUUGACAUCAUAAAACUACAACAUUAUACUUCUAUGUUACAAAUACUGUUCAACAAUGUUAUUAUUCUUUUAUGGACAUUCCAAUGAAGUACAAAAUGCUGUUUGUAAGUACAGUGUACAAAUCAACUAUUGCCAAUAGGUUAACUGACCUUGGAUUAUUCUAUGGAGUGACUAAAACCCUGAGCUUUUCUGCUUCUA